ACUGACACCCAGAGGAGCCAUAUUAUAAACUAGGUAAUUUACAGCUGCAAAGAAAAGGGGUCAUAAGCUCUGACAAAUUGCAAGUGUGUUCUUAUGGGCUGGUGAAAGAAAGAAAGAGUUGGAGAAAUGCAGACAGCUACUUGGGAACAUGGAAUUUAUAUCUGGGAGCCAACUAGAGUAUGCAGUAUCUUCAACAGCAGUUCUUGACAUAUUUUUGCUUUUCAACAAUGGAAGUCUAAUGAACAACAUUAAGGAGCCGGGUAUGGUUCCAUGGCUUCUUACAAGGCUGGCAGCAGUUCCCCGUUUGCAUACACUCGGAGACCAUCUGCUGAGAAGGCCAUGAAACACACGCUCUGCUUUUGACCUUCAAAUACCUUGGCAAGAACAAAGAUCAUCUGUGUAGAUGGACUGAACUUCACAACUCAGAGAAACAUAGGAAAGACAAAUAGGUUUGCUGAAUUUCCCUUGCUCCGACAACUAAAUAAAAACUGUCCUGACUUUACUUAAUAUGGUGUAAAUAAUUAUUGUUUGAAGAGUUAGCUAUAUUGUAUUUAUAAUCCUAUGUCCUUAUAAUGUAUACAAUGUACAAUAGUUUGAAAAUAGUGUAACAGAUAGUGAAAGUUUUAUGUAGUUGCAUUGCAUUAAAAAAAAAAAAAAAGUGUCUGGAGCUCUUGAUUUUCAUUCCCCACCAGGCUUUUACCAUGACUAUUAUUUUUAGGUGUCAUGGUAGCACCUGUAGAUAGUAAGAAAAAUAUGUGCCUCCCCUUGUCAUGAUGUUGGCCUUCCAAACGUGUAUUUUAUUGCUCUUGACUUCUAUUUUUUCUGUGGUGACACUUCAAAAUGAACAUCACAUCCCUGAUUUCCAUAAGCACAGAUGGAAUUCAUCAGGGAGACAUAAUUCCAAUUCUUUCCCCCUUCCUCUCAUUUUGAAUGACAAGUGUAAUAAUAAUGAGAUCAGACGAAGACAUAAUCUUUAAAAUUAGAGAAGGAAUGGCUAAAGUGAAUGGUCAUAUUAGUGAACUAAGAAAUUACAUUUCCAUAAAGACAAAAUUAGACACUUUCAGAAAAUGCUUGGACAAAGCUGAAAAUCACAUGAGCUUUUCAGAAGAUUAGAUGCCGCAAAUGAGACAGGACAUCAUCAAAGCACUGGGA